UGGUCCCUACGGGGGGCAGCAGUGGGGAAUAUUGCACAAUGGGGAAACCCUGAUGCAGCGACGCCGCGUGAGUGAAGAAGUAUUUCGGUAUGUAAACCUCUAUCAGCAGGGAAGAAAAUGACGGUACCUGACUAAGAAGCCCCGGCUAACUACGUGCCAGCAGCCGCGGUAAUACGUAGGGGGCAAGCGUUAUCCGGAUUUACUGGGUGUAAAGGGAGCGUAGACGGUAGAGCAAGUCUGAAGUGAGAGCCCGCGGCUCAACUGCGGGACUGCUUUGGAAACUGUUCAACUG
rnacentral:rRNA from 1 species